AGUCUCCAAAGGCAGGGGAUCAUGCCCUGCUUCAGUAUGUCAAAGUACAUGUUUGGAAUACUGCCUCGUGGCCCAGUCUCCAAAGGCAGGGGAUCAUUCCCUUCUUCAGUAUGUCACAGUACGUGUUUGGGGUCGUUAUCAUGUUGGAAUACUGCCUCGUGGCCCAGUCUCCAAGAGCAGGGGUCAUGCCCUGCUUCAGUAUGUCACAGUACAUGUUGGCAUUCA